rnacentral:misc_RNA from 1 species
UAUCUGGAGCGCCUGGCGCCUGGUAAAAACUACCCUCCGUCAACAACAGCUCCGCGGUUAAUAUCUUUUCUUUUAUAGCAUCGUGCCAUCAGGUUAUCGCCCGAUUACACCUGGUGGCGCGAUACUUUUAUGCAUAUCGUCUCUUUAUCAAUCACUCAAAUUUUUUGAAAAAAUUUGGCAAUUUUCCUUGCUAACAAUUCCUGUACGCCACGUUUAUGAUUCUCUCCAGCGAUAACAAUGACGCGCUAAACCGCGUCAUUGCUCAUGAAAAUAGCAGCAGCCGCCGAAUCGGCCUCCUGGAGAAUAAAAUGAAAAAAUUAGAAGAUGUUGGUGUACUGAUAGCGCGUAUUUUAAUGCCAGUUCUGUUUAUUACCGCAGGAUGGGGAAAAAUUAGCGGCUAUGCGGGCACACAACAGUAU